UACAGCGAGGACAUGGAGCGCUGGAGGCGCUGGAGCUAGCUGCCCACAGGAGUCGUGGAAGCGCCGUCCCUAGAGGUGUUGAAAACACGCGUGGAUGUGGCACUUUGGGACAUGGUUUAGUGGUGGACUUGGCAGUGCUGGAUUAAUGUUUGAACUCAAUGAUCUGAGAGAUCUUUUCCAACCUUAAUACCUCUACGGUUGAAAGUGUGGUUCUUCCCUGUUUGAAGCACAGUUCCACAAUUGUGCUUCACUCUGUCCAUAGCUAGAAAAGCCUGGUGGAAAGAAAUGCUUAACCAUGAAGCUCCUUUUAUACACGUGUCUUCAUUUCCUCCCUUGAGCACUGAUGCUUUUGCACACCCACUGGGGGUUUCCACACCAAAAACUUGAACUAACAUCUCAAAAAGCAUCUAAUCUUGAACUAACAUCUCAAGAAGCAGUCUUGUGUCGGUAAAUAUUAGUUUCUUUCUCCUCUGCCUAAGGAACCUAGUCCAUACCAACAGUGAAACGAUAUUGUCCUGCUUCCUUGGAGGAGGGGGUUGAGCCAUGGUCCCUCCGUCUGCCUGGGACAGUGUCGUUUCCCUGCCUGCUGGGGCUGCGUUCCGUGGAGCGGCAUGAAAGGGCUCCUGGGCAGCUGCUCUGGGCGAGUGGGCGGUACCUCCUUCGGUAAUAACAGCUAAUUUAUACAGCCACGAACAUCUACGGCUAUAAAUAAACAGUUCUGACUGGCUUCGCACGCUUAAAAUGAAAUGGGAGAGACUGAUGGACUGGAAAGAGAAAUCUGGUGUAAAUGUCGUCAAGGCCAGAUCCUUACACAGGGUGUCUCCGUAAGGCCUUUUGAAAAAUCACGGGGAAAAUGUUGGUUUGUGAGCAAUGACACAUUUUCCUCCUUUCAGAACUUUGUGAAUAUGAGAGAAAGGAACAAAGCAAAUCCAAGAUCCCAGCAGCUGUAUUUUGGGGACAGGCAUUCCUCAUUGAUUUCUCAAAGUGCAUGACUGGAAUCCAGCUUCUCUCCAUGCAGGAUGUAGCAGAAAGAAGUGCCUCUUCUGAGCCUUUUUCAAAGAAAUAAACAACCUCCCCUGUGAUUCUCCUCAAAGCCCUGUAGUCCAGCAGCUCAGCCACCACAUCAGAUCCCAAAGGAUCAUUUCCACUGCAUCCUCUGUCUUAUUGUGAUUGGGAAGGAGAGGAAAGGGUAGGAUGAAAAAAAGUACACGGAGCCAUUUUUGCUGUGGGAACAAAGAUUUUCACUCACUGGGCUGAAGAUGGUGUCUAGAUGAGAGUGAGAAUUGGUACAGCUUAGCCACAACAGAGCAAAGUGCAAAGGAGCUUCAGAAGCUCAGGCAAUGGGGAAUUUGUUGUCAUCUUUGCUGAAAGUCUGCCAGAAAACCUUGCUGGGAGCAUAUUUUCCCUUGCCUUGGCCAUACUGAUGCAAGCUGGGUGCCACAGUGCAGAGGUCCAGGUCUAAUGCAAGUGCUUGCUAUAAUCUCCUCCUGACGGUGGUCAUGAAUCAUUCUUGAAUAAGUCUUCCACAGAAAUGGCUUUGACAUUCUGUUGAGUCAUCUGUGCAGUCUGGGAGGGUUUGCUGUGUGCUGGCUCCACACCUGCAUUUUCCAGAACAAGCCAGUGGGAAAUGGCCCGUGUAGUCACUCGUGGUGUCCUGCACUGCACUGCAGUACCAUGCACCAUUCUUGGUCAUCCCCCAUCUCUUUCCAAAGAAUGAGCUCAGUUAUCUCAAACCACUGAAGAAGGCACUCUGAACUAGCCCAUGUGCAGUGGAGCAGCUCAAGGAGUGUCCACACAACCCCUUCUGCUGGCACAGAAGGAGCUGUGCACUUCAGGUGGAACUCGGACGCACAUAAUCACAGCUGGAAAAAUAUCACAAGAAGAAGACAUUUAUCCACAGCCUGGAAAUCCAUCUGACUUCAACAUGGUCCAUUUGAGGUAAUGGUAGCACAUGGACAGGAUUUUAAAUAUUCAAAAAUUCCAACAUAAACUAAAUUAAAACCUAAUUACACAAACUUGCAAUGAAGAAGGAAGAAUAAACAUAAUAACUGAACUCUAUUAAGGGAUUUGCAUUUGUAUGGGAACAUUUGCAAAACUAAAUGUUUUAAAAAUUGUUUCAGACAAUUUGGCCAGGAAUAAUUAUCAAAUAAAAUCAGACUGUAAACACAGAGAAAACCAAAUUAGGCUGAGACAUGAGGUAAAGAUAUUAAUAAGAAUCAUUGUUUCAUAUUUUGUACACUUUUUUUCAACAGCCCUGAAAUGUCUUACUGCAGGAUAAUUAGAAUAUAAUCUUGUUCCAGGAAAUCCAGCACUUGCAAGCCCAGCCCUGUGUGUGUUUGCAUUCAAGUCUAUCUGCACACUGCUUGGAAUAACCUGACUGAUGUGCCAGAUACUCACUAGUAUCUACUAGAGAGCAGAGACAAGGCAAGCAGCACUAAUUUUUCAGUUGAUUUUUAACUUAGGAAGGAGUACAGGUGCCACUAAAGACCAUAAAAAAUAGAGAGGAUCUUGGAGAAGUUAUUAUCCUUAUGGAACGGAAAGAUCAAAGGGAGAAUCAAUUUGGGGAAAACAGUCUAAAAGUGAGCACAACAGGUAGUGGUAAAAGUACAAAUCAGUAAAGCAAAUUAAAAAAAAAAAAAGAAAGGAUGUGGAAGGAUGUUGGAAGUGCAAGAACAAUUCUUUCCAGGUUUAUAAUGAUUUGUAGACAAGCAAACUAGGAAGCCCUUGAAUAGAUUUUAAAGUAGCCUGGAUGCAAAUUGGAAUGCAGGCCGUAUUAUCUGGAGCUUGAAACUUUUGCCUUAAAGUACUUGCAAUCCUUUUAUUGCAUCUGUGUCUUUCUUUAACUUCCUAAUCUUUUGCUUCCUUUGUGACAUCAGAUAGAUUUUUAGAGUUAAGGUCUAUUCCAAGCCUUGGAGGUUCUAAAAUCAGAAGCCAGAUGUUUGGAAAUGGAGAAGGGGCUUAAGAAACAGAGAAUUAACAUAGUGACAUAUAGGUCGUGUGUGUAUAAAUAUAUAUGUAUAUAUGUGUGUGUAUGUUUUGCAGUUUCUUUUGCUCAUUCUCUCCAUCAGAGUCCCAAAAACACUUAACAGUUCUCAAUAAACCUGGCCAGCCCCAGCUGAGACCUCCACCCAACCACUUUAAAAGGGAGCAGAGCCCUUUUUAGUUCAGCUGAGGACUGUCAGCCUCUGCUUGAGCUGUUGGGGGUAUCAGCCUUUCUAGGGCUUGCUAUGGAGACCUUUUCUCUGGAACUCAUUGUCUGGACUGGUUUCCCAGCCUAAACUGGGCACUGUCUCAUCAUCAUGGCCCUACCGUCACUGGACCUGACUUACGAACUGGCUUCCUGGUUCUGCCUUCCUGGUUUGAUCUUGAAUCUGCCCUGCCAGCAUGCUUUUCCCUUAUGGUCUGGACUCUCAGUUGCUAUCUCUGAGCCCAUCCUGCUUGGCUCCUUUGAGGCUGAGGGGAAGGCUGUGGGGUCAGCUCAGUUCCUGGCUUGCCAUCCCUUGGAGAAAAGACCUGGAUUUGCUGCUCUCCUGGUUUCGUCAAGCAUGUGUGUGAGUGCACAGAGGUGAGGUGCUGUGCUGUCACAGUGACAGAAGGUGGUGGCUCCUACCCACUCUACAGAAGUGCUGUAACUGAAGCCAUCUUUUUGCCUAAGGAGAAAGGAGCUGUUGUUAACAGUCUACUCUUCCCCUGGAAGCAGGAAAGCAGCAGAAUAUACAGCAGAAGGCAGUGAUAUGGAAUAGAAGUCUCUGGCAGCAUUGCUACAUUAUCUGCACCACGGGAGGAAAAUCUAGAUAAUGGUUUUAUUUUCAGAUGUGAAGAUCUGUGGUUCAGAUUUAGCUAGAGGACUUUGCCCACAAAUAUAGAUAAUCCUUUAUUCAAUGUUUCACUUCACUGCAAAGCCUUGCUUGCCUAGGUAAGAAAUGUGCACUGGCAUGCCUCUUGUGUUUCUGGAGCUCAGUGUUCAGGUCACACUCGGUACUUCUUAUCUCUCAGACUGAUCCACGUGUGUUUUACAGGGCAAGGGGACUGGGGUUCUGCAGUAAGCUUCCAGAAUCACCUUUUGAUCACUUUUUGUCACUGCAUUCAACCAACUCCACAAUAUCAAGGAAUGGUUUGGCCUCAGUAGUAACAGAGCAGGGCAGCAGGCCCCAGAUUUGAAAACAAGAAGCCACUAUUUGUAUUUCCAUGACUUCUCUGUGCUUCUACUGGGAGAUGCUUAACAGGUAUCCACCAAAUGGUCAGCCCAGAGGGAGGAUGAUAGAGAAAUGAGUGAAGGAAGCUUCAAUCCUUCCUUUCCUAACCUGCAACUUCUCAAGAUACAUCCAGAUUGAGAAAAAAAAAAGAUGGAACACAGUGUCUCCUCACACAGUCUGGGUAGGAAAAAGGUGCUUUGAAACUGGGAGAGAGGUAGUGUGGAGAACAACUGCAUAAAGAGACAAAACACAGCAGGAAGACAGGCUCUGGGAAUUGGAGUAGAGAAUGAAGAAGUUAAAAAGAAUGUGUAGUGGAAAGGGUAUAUUAAAAAGUUUGCAUGCAGCCUGUGGGACAAAAAGGGGAGAUACAAAGGUAGGUGCCAUGACUUUGGCCUCCAUAAACCAGACUGAAUUAUCCUGUUUACUUUAUCCUGCAGUCCCUAGCAUUGGAGUGAAGUGUUUCUGCAUCUCUUGGUUUGUGUGAAUAAUAUGUUCUUGGCAUCAGCUUUGGUUUUAAUGUGAUUGGUUUUUAAACAUAAUUAGAAGUGUUUUUACAGCUUUGUGUAUUUCUGUUUAAGAGACAACAAAAAGUAAUGCACCGAUAUGUUUUUUUAGCAGAGAAAGAUCUCUAAAACAUUACACCAGAAUGGCACUACUGUCUUGAUAAUAAGAACAUGCAUGGUGGAUCAUUGCAGAAUUGGUUUUGAAUGUUUGCCAGCAAAGCCUCUGACUCAACAGAAAGCACAACCUGUGGUUUGUUAGCCCCAUUGACCUCGGUGCCUCAUUGUGCAAGCUGUUCACAGAAUCAGAUACCCCAAAAUGGAACUUUAGGUGGGGGAGGAGCAGUUCAGUAAUGUUUCAAUUUUGAACUUUCUUGAUUUAGUAAAAUUCACUUUCCUUUUUCAUUUGAGUUUACUGUGGAGGCUACAGUAAGAUCAUCAGGGACUCCAGGAAUGCAUGGUCCCCCUAAGCCAAGGAGAUAGUACACAUGCUGAAAUGAUGCCUGUAAAACUUGAUACAAGAACCCCUUAAGCACAUGCUCUGGUUUUCUGAGAGUGCAUUAGUGGGAUUUAACAGACACACAAAUUCUUUCCUGAAGAUAGGCACAGGAAAAAUUACUCCACAAAGGAAAUGCCUCUCCUUAGAGGGACUCACAGCUGUGCUGUGCACUCUUCCCCCUCACUGCACUCUGGUGCCUGAAGCCUUUGGGGAGCUGAGCUGUUCUUCACAGGCUUGUCUCCUAUCUGUGUCCAGCAUCUGCCUCAUGUGGCUUGGUUUUCUUUAUCUCAACUGGCCUGGCCUCCAAACUGGAUUUCUUCUGGACAUGUAGAAAAACCCAGUAUUUUUAAGAAGUGAGUGCACACCAUUUUUGGGGUUUAUGGGCUGACUGGCGGCUCCUCCUGUAGCAUUUAUAUGGCAAUAAUAUAAUCUAAGUAUUUUGAAGGAACCUUAACAAUUUAAGCCACUGGAGUAUUCAAUAUCUUAACUUCUGCUUUUUCUUGUGUUUCCAUGAGCUUAUCUGCAAGCUUAACAGUGCAUCAGUGUCAGAUUCUACUUUCCACAAAUGUACUCACAUUUAAUUCACCAGAAUGGUUGUUCCACAGUUUGGUCAAAAUAAUAUAUAAACCACAUUUUUGUGACUUAAAAAAGGCCUUACCACUUGCUAUAAAGACAAGGCUGGGGAAUGAUUCACCUCUGAAGGAAAUAGUGUGCUGUUUCUGUUGUACCACUUUUUAAGCCAACAGACAAACAGCUUUGAGACCUGCUGCUGCACCCUAGAACAUGUUUUGAUGUUGCCUUUCAAGUGUUUAAACAGAAGAUAGAGUCAGUUGUGAAAUGUCUUACUCCUUUUUGAUGAAAAGGAGCUUCAACUGGAAUGUGAUGAAGCCAUGGCACAGCUUUCUGGAAGGGGUGCAAUGUGCAGCUGGAGCUGAAGAAGUCGAUGUGGAGGCUGCCAAGCCAGACUGGAGCAACAGCUCGGGUCAGGGGCAAACAGGAGUGGGUGUUGCAGCCAUCAGCUGCCAUCAGCUAAUCCAUGAAAAACCAAGCCCCAAUUAUUUCUGUCCUUACUGCAGUGAGAAGCCAGCCUUGACCCAUGCUUCUUAUUCAUAUCACUGUAGUUCUCCUUCAUCUGUCUUUCCUCUGUCUUGUACGCUACGUGGGUAAUUGUUUAUCCGUGUGUGAAAAUGGGUAAAGGAUGCAGUCAUACUGCUGUGAUAGGACUUUUGGAUAAUGAGAUCCAUGGCUUUUACAGUGUUGGCCUUGUGAAAUUUUGGGACAGCUGCAAGAUUCCAAGUGCUGUGUUUUCAACUUGCAUUUGUUUCCUACAGUGUGUUUUUAAAAUUUUCUACACUCCUCAGCACUGGAGCUUGACCUUCUUAGCCUUACACGAAAAAGAUUUAUAAAAUCACUGGCCACAACUAGAGAAAAUUGUUUUUCAGAAGACCCUGUAAACAGGGAAAUUACAUAGAACCACAAUAAUUCAAAGCAAAGCCAUAUGUUUAAUUAUUGUUGUAGCCAUUUGAAUUUAAGGAUGACUGAACAUCUUUAAAUGAUAGAGCAUGUCUUACAAAGGUGAGCUGUGUGGUUUGUGAUGCACUGCUGCAAAUAUUCUGUGUACUAUUUGAAUGCCACUUCACAGUUCUGAGGAACAUAAAGGCUAAAGGAACUUGAAGAUUUGUUGUUGAUCUGUACCUAGUGAUCUGCAAUAUGCCUACAAAGUAAACAUUCCAGUCAUCAAAUAAAUUUUAAUAUAUUUGAGAAUUUUCAAUAGAAUGGGGAUUAUUUUCUCCUUUGUGGAUUUCUUCUCUUCAUAUCUGUACUGGGAAGGAGGCAAGGAAAAACAUUUCCACAAAAAAUAACUCUGUUUUGCUUAUUUCCUUUUAACCCUGCAACCUUUGAGCUGCUAAGCUAACUUAACAUGCUCAAAAAGUGAUAUUUAAAAGAACUCUCCCACACAUGUCUGUGGCAAACAAUACUAGAGGGCCACUGAAUGGCAAAAAUACUUGGGGAAGAAAGCAUGGGUUGGAAUGCUUUUUAAUCAUUCAGAUAUGUUAAAAUGUUUGUGGUCAAACCUAGAGAAAAAGCAUACCACUGGAGGCAUCUUGGCAAGGUGCACUUGUGUUAAGUGCCUCAUAUGUCUCCUGUUUCUUUAACUGAUAAAAUAAAAGGCUUAGGAAAAAAUGCUGGCAAGCCACACCAUAUUUAAAUGAACAGUUCAGAACCCAGAGCUACUGAGAAAGAAAGAUCAGAGUGAACUGGUGGGGCGAGGUAGAAAGGAGAUGCAGUGGAAAAUAUGAGCAACUUCAUGAAAAAGUUCAGAAACCUGUCUAACUAAGAAGCAAAAAUACCAGGGUGAAAGGGAGUAAAAGGGCUGUGAAAGGGCAGAGCCUGGUGACCUAUAGAGAAGCAGCUCUUUAUGAGAAGACAGAAGCAACAAUGGAAAGCCAAAAGCUCUGGGACUUGCUUUUCAUGGGUACAUCUACACUAACUUCAGAGCACCGGCCCAAGCUCAAACUUGCCUCAUGUUUGGACACAAGACUCUGCUCAGGGCCUUGGGUGAGCUCCAUCUCUGGGAGGAGGUGGGGAGUCUGUGCUGGCCCAGCCCUUUAUAUAACCCAAAUGAUAUCAUACCAUGCACUUCAGAUGAGCCUUUGCCUUCUCCCAAAUCCUCCAUUCCAGAGCUCAUAAUUCUGUGUGGCAAUUAUCUCCCUCCUAUAAGCGCUUCAUGUCACAUCCCACAAAACCCUGCUGGAUGUGUGGUGUGCUGAGUACGAGGCAUUCACACCUUGCCAGUGGUCCAGCCUGCUCCUUAUCCUGCUAAGGGCAGGUCAGCAGCAGGGCCAUACCAUCUGCCCACCACUGGGGCUUCCUCUUGGACAAAAAGUGGUUCAACCAGUACAAUUUUAAUAAUUUUUUGUUUUCCUCCUUAGACUUUGGCAUGCCAUCAUAAAUGGCUUGGCCAGACAGGAAGUGAGGCCAGCCAGGGAAGUGCUGCGGGUGCCUCCCUGUCUCUUGGCCUGUGCAGAUGUCUCUGCAGGGAGGAUGCUGCAUGAGGUGUGGGCCCGGCACUGGUGUCACCAGGGCUGGCAGUACUGAAGGACAGCUCACAGGGACUCUGUCAGAAGGUGUUCUUCUCUUUGGCUCCUUUGCUCUGUGGCUGGUCUCUUGCCUGAUCUCUGUCCUGUGACCAGUCACAUGAGGCCUCAUGUGCUGGGAGGAAAGAAGGCUGAUGUGAGGCUGUGGUGGUGGUGGUAAAAGUAGGGUUAAAUUAGGAUUUCUUCCCCUGCCUCCAUGAGCUGUCCUGUGAUUACCCCUGGGGAAGUACCCCAGCAGCUGGGACUCUUCCAAAGAGGGAGAAGGACAAAAAGUCACCAAAAGAGAUUUUAGCAUGGCCUCUUAAACACAGGUAUUCUUGUCUGAGAUGCUCUGAUAUAAUUAAGAUGAACAUGGUAUAAAUAAGUAGAUAUGGUAUCAGUGAUGUUGAAGUUCAUUGAAAUGUUUGGUUAAUAAUACCUGGAAAAAAGGUGAAGCUCUGUCAGUGAACUGUGCCCUAUAUCAGGUGAUUAACCUGAAGCUGGACAGAUUUGUACCUUUUCCUGGCCACAUGACUACCAGUACCAGGUACCACCACACAGAGUUGCA